GACGAACGCUGGCGGCGUACUUAACACAUGCAAGUCGUACGGUAAGGCCCUUUCGGGGGUACACGAGUGGCAAACGGGUGAGUAACACGUGAGUAACCUGCCCACAACUUUGGGAUAACGCUAGGAAACUGGUGCUAAUACUGGAUAUGUGCUCCUGCUGCAUGGUGGGGGUUGGAAAGCUCCGGCGGUUGUGGAUGGACUCGCGGCCUAUCAGCUUGUUGGUGGGGUAGUGGCCUACCAAGGCGGCGACGGGUAGCCGGCCUGAGAGGGUGACCGGCCACAUUGGGACUGAGAUACGGCCCAGACUCCUACGGGAGGCAGCAGUGGGGAAUAUUGCACAAUGGGCGCAAGCCUGAUGCAGCAACGCCGCGUGCGGGAUGACGGCCUUCGGGUUGUAAACCGCUUUCAGCAGGGACGAAGCUUUUUGUGACGGUACCUGCAGAAGAAGCACCGGCUAACUACGUG
rnacentral:rRNA from 1 species